rnacentral:lncRNA from 1 species
GGUUUCUAGUCCUACUGGGAGAAAGAGGAACAGGUUUCUAGUCCUACUGGGAGAAAGAGGAACAGGUUUCUAGUCCUACUGGGAGAAAGAGGAACAGGUUUCUAGUCCGACUGGGAGGAAGCGGAACAGGUUUCUAGUCCUACUGGGAGAAAGAGGAAUAACAGGGUUUCUAGUCCUACUGGGAGAAAGAGGAACAGGUUUCUAGUCCUACUGGGAGAAAGAGGAACAGGUUUCUAGUCCUACUGGGAGAAAGAGGAACAGGUUUCUAGUCCUACUGGGAGAAAGAGGAACAGGUUUCUAGUCCUACUGGGAGAAAGAGGAACAGGUUUCUAGUCCUACUGGGAGAAAGAGGAACAG